UACGGAGGGUGCAAGCGUUGCUCGGAAUUAUUGGGCGUAAAGGGCAGGUAGGUGGUCUCAUUUGUCUUAGGUGAAAGCCUUGGGCUUAACCCAAGAAGGGCCUAAGAAACGGUGAGACUAGAGUGCUGGAGAGGGUCGUGGAAUUCCCGGUGUAGCGGUGAAAUGCGUAGAUAUUGGGAAGAACACCGGUGGCGAAGGCGGCUCUCUGGACCGAUACUGACGCUGAGGCGCGAAAGCGUGGGGAGCGAACAGG
rnacentral:rRNA from 1 species